CUGUGGGGGCCCACCUAGCUCUGCAGUUCUAAGAUUUAUAACCAAAAGCAUUUUCCCCUGAAGUCUCUCCACUCCAAUUUGUCCUCCCAGUCAGUCAGAAUCUGGCAAACCAUUUCAGCCCUCCUGCCCCUCAUUCCAAGGGUCCCUGUCAUUUUGUUUUGCUUCUUCUCUCCUUUCCAACAGCGGAGAUAUACGAAUACUACUAUGAAUAUGAGGAUGAAUCCGAAGCCCAGCCCGCCGACCAACCGUUGUCACCUAUUGGCUUGUUCGAUGCCCGGCGCCGGCGCCGAAGAGAAGCCAAAGACCCCGGGCACCCUCGACGAGACAUCACCUACAACGUCUGCUUCUGGAGGCAACGUGGGAGUCACAUCACAGGCAUGGUGAUCGUUGACAUCACUUUGCUCAGCGGCUUCCAACCCGACGAAGGUGACCUUAACCAGGUAGCUGUUCUGGAGGAGAUGGUAAAAGGGGAUGCCCAGGCGAGGGUUCAGGCUAGCCUUUUGCACUGUCAACCCUUCUGAUCUCCAGACUCUGAUGCUCUUAGGAGGAGAUUCUCUGUUUUGUUGAACACAAAAGGGUAGAAAACACAGAGCAUGGCUCUGCCGCCCUGCACGAACCUCCAGCUUGUAGUUGUGUCAAUUGGAUAUGGUGCCACUAAAAGCUGUAGGGCCUCUGUGUGCAUCCACUGGAAACAGGACAACCACAAACACAAUGGGCUACUGUGCAUGUGGUGAAAGGAAAUAAGGUUUUAAAUUAAUUCAUUCAUUUUUACCCCACUUUUCUCCUUGUAGUGCAUGACAAAAUCACCCCGAGAGAACAAAAGGGAACCUCAUUUUUUGACCACCAUCACCCCCAUUUUUCCCCAUUAAAAAGCAAACGAGAUAGGGGUGCGUAAGAAUUACAUUUGUGGGGCCCUGGCAGUUUGUAUAGCCCAUGCCGCCCAUGCUCUAGAAUGCGGUUCAGAGAGGUCAUUUGCUUGUGGCCCAGGAAUGGAAACCUUACUCUACCUAUUUUAUUAAUUUUUUUACAUGUAUAGCCCAUCUUUCCUCAGCUGAGUUCAAGACUGCAUACAUGUCUCUCUCCUAUUUAUCUUCCCCACCAUCCCACAAAAUCCUGUGAAGCCGUUCAGCCUGAGAGAGGCUGACUCCCCUGUCCACUUGGUGCCUCAGAGAGGACUGGAACCUUGAUCUCCCAAAACCUGCAGUCCAACAUUCUAACCGUGAGCCUCACCCCACUUGCCUCCACUUUCCCCUCAUGUCUUCUCUUCCUGUCACCCAUCUUUUCAGCUUCGAGAUGUCCCUGAGCGAUACAUCAGCCACUGGGAGAUUCAAGGACGACGACUGCUUCUCUAC
rnacentral:lncRNA from 1 species